rnacentral:rRNA from 1 species
AGUAACACGUGGGUAACCUGCCCAUCAGAAGGGGAUAACACUUGGAAACAGGUGCUAAUACCGUAUAAUAAUCGAAACCGCAUGGUUUCGGUUUGAAAGGCGCUUUUGCGUCACUGAUGGAUGGACCCGCGGUGCAUUAGCUAGUUGGUGAGGUAACGGCUCACCAAGGCGACGAUCCCUAGCUGGUCUGAGAGGAUGACCAGCCACACUGGAACUGAGACACGGUCCAG